AACGAACGCUGGCGGCAUGCCUAACACUUGCAAGUCGAACGAGAUCUUCGGGUCUAGUGGCGCACGGGUGCGUAACGCGUGGGAAUCUGCCCUUUGGUUCGGAAUAACAGUUGGAAGCGACUGCUAAUACCGGAUGAUGACGAAAGUCCAAAGAUUUAUCGCCAGAGGAUGAGCCCGCGUAGGAUUAGCUAGUUGGUGUGGUAAAGGCGCACCAAGGCGACGAUCCUUAGCUGGUCUGAGAGGAUGAUCAGCCACACUGGGACUGAGACACGGCCCAGACUCCUACGGGAGGCAGCAGUGGGGAAUAUUGGACAAUGGGCGAAAGCCUGAUCCAGCAAUGCCGCGUGAGUGAUGAAGGCCUUAGGGUUGUAAAGCUCUUUUACCCGGGAUGAUAAUGACAGUACCGGGAGAAUAAGCUCCGGCUAACUCCGUGCCAGCCGCCGCAGUAA
rnacentral:rRNA from 1 species